CUUGACGACCAUAGCAAGGUGGAACCACCCCUUUUCCAUUCCGAACAGGACCGUGAAACGCCUUCGCGCCGAUGAUAGUGCAUAUUCGUGUGUGAAAGUAGGUCAUCGUCAGGC
rnacentral:rRNA from 1 species